rnacentral:rRNA from 1 species
GAUGAACGCUGGCGGCGUGCUUAACACAUGCGAGUCGAACGGAAAGGCCGAAGCUUGCUUCGGUACUCGAGUGGCGAACGGGUGAGUAACACGUGGGUGAUCUGCCCUGUACUUCGGGAUAAGCUUGGGAAACUGGGUCUAAUACCGGAUAUGACGAUCUCUUGGAUGGGGUUGUGGAAAGCUUUUGCGGUAUGGGAUGAGCUCGCGGCCUAUCAGCUUGUUGGUGGGGUAAUGGCCUACCAAGGCGUCGACGGGUAGCCGGCCUGCGGGGGGGGAGGGCCCCGUUGGGCACGUAAGGCGGGCCCGAGUCCCUAAGGGGGCACGAGGGGGGAAAAUUUGACCGAGGGACGCAGCCUGAGGGAGGGAGGCCCGCGGGGGGGAUAACGCCUUUGGGUUGGAAAAUCCUUUCCGAAACGACCGAGGCUUUUGGUGACGGUAGGUUGAGAAGAAGCACCGGCUAACUACGUG